rnacentral:sRNA from 1 species
CUGAAGCAUUUUGAAGGAACUGAGUUUCCUAAUCCUCUAAUCAGCAAGUACCUUCUAACCUGCAAAACUGCGCACCAACUGACAGUGAGAAUCAAGAACCUCAACAUGAACAGAGCUCCUGACAACAUCAUUAAAUUUUAUAAGAAGACCAAACAGCUGCCAGUCCUAGUAAAAUGCUGUGAAGAGAUCCAGCCACAUCAGUGGAAGCCACCUAUAGAGAGAGAAGAACACCGGCUCCCAUUCUGGUUAAAGGUACAGCCCUCUUCCUUGAAGUCUGUAGGAGGCAGAAGGUCACUGAAAGUUCUGAGAGAAUAUCAAGGGCUUCCUUAAUCGUCUAAUGCUUUAGUUGUAGAACUAGGACUUUAGAAAUCUUCCUGAUUCACCUUUCUUCCCUUACUUUUCUGCCCUUCUCUGGGUGAUUCUACAGCAUUUUCAAAAUAAUAGGUAAAAUAAUAAUUUGCUAAAGGAAAUUCACAGAAGUUUCUAAAGUGUAUAAUUAGAAUGUGGUCUUUGUAGAUUUGAUAUGCAGAGAGACCCUUCUUGGAAAGAUGCCUUGAGACUGUCUAAGGUCUCUAAAACCUAGAAAGCCCU